rnacentral:rRNA from 1 species
AGAGUUUGAUCCUGGCUCAGAACGUACGCUGGCGGCACGCCUAAUACAUGCAAGUCGAACGAAGUAGCAAUACUUAGUGGCAGACGGGUGAGUAACAUGUGGGUAUCUUCCCUUUGGUGAGGAAUAACACGAGGAAACUUGUGCUAAUACCUCAUAAGUCUUUACGGAGAAAGCUUUAUGCGCCAUUGGAUGAGCCCGCACUUGAUUAGUUUGUUGGUGGGGUAAUGGCCUACCAAGACUGUGAUCAAUAGCUGAUUUGAGAGGAUGAUCAGCCACAUUGGGACUGAGACACGGCCCAAACUCCUACGGGAGGCAGCAGUAGGGAAUCUUGCACAAUGGAGGAAACUCUGAUGCAGCGAUGCCGCGUGAGUGAAGAAGGCCUUUGGGUUGUAAAGCUCUUUCGUCGGGGAAGAAAAUGACUGUACCCGAAUAAGAAGGUCCGGCUAACUUCGUGCCAGCAGCCGCGGUAAUACGAAGGGACCUAGCGUAGUUCGGAAUUACUGGGCUUAAAGAGUUCGUAGGUGGUUAAAAUAGUUGGUGGUGAAAUCCCAGAGCUUAACUCUGGAACUGCCAUCAAAACUUUUUAGCUAGAGUAUGAUAGAGGAAAGCAGAAUUUCUAGUGUAGAGGUGAAAUUCGUAGAUAUUAGAAAGAAUACCAAUUGCGAAGGCAGCUUUCUGGAUCAUUACUGACACUGAGGAACGAAAGCAUGGGUAGCGAAGAGGAUUAGAUACCCUCGUAGUCCAUGCCGUAAACGAUGUGUGUUAGACGUUGGAAAUUUAUUUUCAGUGUCGCAGCAAAAGCGAUAAACACACCGCCUGGGGAGUACGACCGCAAGGUUAAAACUCAAAUGAAUUGACGGGGACCCGCACAAGUAGUGGAGCAUGUGGUUUAAUUCGAAGAUACGCGCAGAACCUUACCAACACUUGACAUGUUCGUCGCGACUCUAAGAGAUUAGAGUUUUCGGUUCGGCCGGACGAAACACAGGUGCUGCAUGGCUGUCGUCAGCUCGUGUCGUGAGAUGUUGGGUUAAGUCCCGCAACGAGCGCAACCCUCACUUUUAGUUGCUACCAUUUAGUUGGGCACUCUAAAAGAACUGCCAGUGAUAAGCUGGAGGAAGGCGGGGAUGACGUCAAGUCCUCAUGGCCCUUACGUGUUGGGCUACACACGUGCUACAAUGGUACUUACAGAGAGAAGCGAAGGGGCGACUCUAAGCCAAUCCCAAAAAGGUACCUCAGUUCGGAUUGUACUCUGCAACUCGAGUACAUGAAGCUGGAAUUACUAGUAAUCGCGGAUCAGCGCGCCGCGGUGAAUACGUUCCCGGGUCUUGUACACACCGCCCGUCACACCAUGGAAGUUGGUUACACCUUAAGGCAAAGCAUAAAACCUUUGACUACGGUACGAUCAGCGACUGGGGUGAAGUCGUAACAAGGUAACC